AAAGGAAUAGACGGGGUCCCGCACAAGCGGUGGAGCAUGCUCUUUAAUUGGUUGCUAACCCAAGAACCUUACCCAGACUUGACAUGUAUGUAGUAGUGAACCGAAAGGGGAACGAUCUUAAUUUAUUAAGAAGCAUACACAGGUGUUGCAUGGCUGUUGUCAGCUCGUACCGUGAGGCGUACCCUUAAGUGGAUUAACGAGCGCAACCCCUGCUGCCAGUUGUAUCACUCUGGCGGAACUGCCAUCGUGAGAUGGAGGAAGGCGGGGAUGACUUCAAGUCAGUAUUGCCCUUAUGUUUGGGGCUAGAAGCAUGCUACAAUGGCGCGUACAAAGAGUUGCAAUGCAGUAAUGCGGAGCCAAUCUCAAAAGCGCGCCUCAGUUCGGAUUGAAGUCUGCAAUUCGACUUCAUGAAGUUGGAAUCGCUAGUAAUCGUCGGUCAGCCAUACGACGGUGAAUACGUUCUCGGGACUUGCACACACCGCCCGU
rnacentral:rRNA from 1 species